rnacentral:rRNA from 1 species
UACGUAGGAUGCGAGCGUUGUCCGGAAUCAUUGGGCGUAAAGCGCGUGUAGGCGGCCAGGUAGGUCUGGUGUGAAACUCGAGGCUUAACCUCGAGAUGUCAUCGGAAACCAUCUGGCUAGAGUCCGGAAGAGGAGAGUGGAAUUCCUGGUGUAGCGGUGAAAUGCGCAGAUAUCAGGAAGAACACCAAUGCGAAAGCAGCUCUCUGGGACGGUAAUUGACGCUGAGACGCGAAAGCGUGGGGAGCGAACAGG